UGAGCAGUGCUGCAAAUGGGAGCAGCUCACUUAUCCCUGGCCUGACUGGGAAGGGAGAGCAGUGAAGGAAUGCAAAGAGUCAGGGACAUGGUCAGGGGCACAGACCAGAGGAAAUCACCUUUGCAGAGGCUUCCCAACACUGUGAGGAAGGCAGACCACAGCCACCAAGAAUAAGACAAAAGACAAUUAAGAGCUCAGUCCCAGGUAUGGCUGAAGCAGGGAGAGUUCUGCUUACAGCACGUGGAAGAGGUUCAGAUGAGCACAUACCACUCUGAGAAGACCCAAGGCUUUCUGCUCGGAGCAGUUCUCCAGGUCAGAAGCAGAGCAGUAAGCACAGGGCCAGCUGGGGCUGCUCUGAGCCCUCAGUGCUCUGAGCCUCUGGAAUUCUCUCCUGAUAAGCAGAGGCUGCACGGUUGUACCCUAUUCCAGCCACUCAAGUGCUGGCAAUUCAAAAUUACUAUCCCAAAAAUGAGACAAGAUGUUGUUAAGUCUCAUAUACAAUUUCUUUUCAAUUCCUACCAUCAAUUAUUCCACUUGUCUGUAAUGGCUUCAGACUCUUUUAUCUUCCUCUCAGUGGAUUUCUCUGCUGCUUUGCAUUUAAAUUCACCUUGUCUUCCUGAAUACACAGACAAACUGUAAGCAAUAAAUGAGCCAGGCAAAAACAAACCUGUUGUUAUUUUCUUGGCUUUCUCUGCUGUCCUGAGCAAAGGAUGUUUCUAUAUCCCUUUGAGAAAGCCAUCCAAUGAUGAAUAACUAUUUGAAAACAAAUGGGAAGGAUUGCACCAGCCACCUACUUCUCAGCCUUAGAAAGAGUAGGAAAAUCCACCCAUCCAUAAAUAUUUUUUAGGAUGAUAGUUAUGAAAAUAAAGUAGGCUGGAACGUUCCCUAUCAGGCCAGGCUGCAGCAUUCAGCUUAUAUCAAUUACUGUCUAUUUGACAUGCUUCAUGCUCCCUUCAUUAACAGGAUGAAAGGUUUUAUGGGAUAAUAACUCAGUUCCAGUGAGCAAAUGUAUUUGUGAGACCAAAGACUGAGUCCUUUGUCCUUGCAGAAGGAGCCUCGAGACUGCAGCAAUUGGCAAUGGUGUAGGAUGGAUAAAUCACAGGAGCACAACUUCUGUCCCACAGAGCACUGUCCCAUCCAUGAAUCACUGAGGACAAAGGAUCCUCACUGCAGGACAGCUGAGAGAGCAGAGAUCAUCUUGGUGAGGAUGCUGCUGCAGGAGGGAAAUAGAAGAGCCACUGGCUUCAGCUGGAUAUUGAAGAUGCUUUAAUUGGAGUUACUGUCAUAUUAAAUGGUCCCUCAUGGUUUCCUCAUCUCAAUCAGGGUUUGAUUGAAGACCUGUGACCUGAAUUUGUGGUCAUUACCUUACCAGAACUUAUUGGUUUUCUUGCUCUUCAGGCAGUAGGCAGAUGGUAAUUGUUUCCUAAAACAUUUCUCAGCUGAACAGCAGUGACAAACACUCUUCUCACCUCAGAAAAUCCCAGAGCACAUUACAAACUGCCUGGGCAAAGAGGACAGAUGUGUUUUCCUUGGAUCUGACAGGAGCCAUGCAAUAGCCACUCUCAUCAGGGAAGGGGUAUGCUUGGCUAAUGGAAAAUAAUCAUACCUGGCUUUCCACCCCAGCUGUCCCACUGUUAAUCUCAUUGUACCUGCACUCAAAUUAUCAGUAGGCAUCCUCUUCUCCUUCUGCCUCAACUAAUUACAUGGAAAAUCUCCUGUCCCAGCACAACCAGAGCAGACUGUAAGAAUGGAGGAGGGUGUGCACUAAGGGAUUGCUAACAAGAGGCAAACACUCUUUAAUGCUCUCCAAGUUCUCCAUUCCUCCUCUGGGGCCAGCUGAGUUAGGACACAGUGCAUGUUCCCUCUUGCAGCCUGACUUUGCUGGGUGCAAAGAGCACAAUUUUCCCCUGGCUGUGGUUUCUGGCUGUGUGGGACAGGACUGCAUGGCAGGUUCUUGCUGCUAGGCUCUACUUCAGUUCACACAACCCGUGCACCAUAAAAAGAACAAAAAAACAUCCACACAGAUCAAAUAUUACCACACAAUGGCAUCAACAUAUCUCAUUGACAGACUAAUCUGUGUUCUGUAUGAAAAUGUGUAUUCAAAACCCCACCAUGUGAGAUAUCACCUGAGAGGAAUCACAGUAAGGACUUAAGAGGGGUCUGUACUCAUGGCAGGUGAAAUCAAAUUAGUAGUACAGAAAUUAUUUGCUUUAAGCUCAGACCAUGGACUGAAUUUAGAGCUCUAAAUCAGUGUUUACCUUGUUGAAUGAUGGGCUCUUGCAGGAGAGCAUUUACUACAAAAACAAAGCUUUUAAUCCAAAUCAGUGAGUGUCAGAGUUUGAAUUAUGGCUGUAAGAGAAAGUCUUUUGUUUCUGUCACCUCUUUAGUCAAUGCUAAUUUGACCAAGGUGUGAAUGAGUUAGUGUUGCUCCCAAAAAUUCUGUGAGUGCAAAGAGGCACCUUCUCCCAGCACACAGAGCCUUUGGAACUCCUUUUAGACAUCCUCAGAUGAAAAACCCGCCUUCAGAUGAUGGAAGACAGGUUAGUAACUUGCAGGAUAUUUAUUCUGAGUAGCAAAGUCAUGGCUACAACAAAACAACUGAAGAAAGGAGAGGUGCACAGUGGACACACACUGAAAGUUUCUACUAAUCCUCUUCCAAGGUGAGACUGAAGGGCAACAACCCUGCCCAGCAGAGCAGAGGAACAGCAUGUCAGGAGACAGGAACAGCCUGUGGAGUUCUGCAGCAGGAGAUUUGGGAGACACAAGGUCACUCUGUACAGGGAGGUGUGAAUUGCAGAGCCACCUCAGGUGGGGUGAAUAUUAGCUCACUGCAGCACUUGCUCCAUAAAGCAUUAUUUACUAAAAUACAUCUUUUUUUUUUUUUCCAUUUUUCUGGUCUGCAGUUAUUUUGUGCAGACCCCACGGUCUCACUGGAAGCUUCUACUUGCAAAGUCUCCUUUAACAUCCCUCAGAAUUGGGAGAGAUGCUAAACUGGCAUGGCAAAAAAAUAACAAUCAUUUGGGAGCAAUUGAUAUCCUGCUGUUACAGACUUGCAAACACUCAUUUCCAUACCACCUACAGUUAUGUGUGCAUCUCUUUGUUCUGAUAUUGAGAAAAAAACCCAUUUGUAUUCUUUCAAUACAAGCAAUCCUUGGCUUGAAUUUUUAGUUGGUCAAAUAACGCUAAAGAAGGAAAUAUUGGAAUUUCUGCCUGUGCCAUGGGACUAUUCAGGCAGGCAAACUCUAUUACAGCCAUGGUCUUAUCAAAGGAAAGGUAAAUCUCCUCAUUAAAUCUUGGUUGUUGUUAUUUUCAAGAAGAGAGCCUCUCUACUUCAGGGAAAAUGAUGGGGAAUGUGACAGGCAGUGGUGGCAGCCUGCAGAGGAGCUGUGUGUGGAGC